rnacentral:tRNA from 1 species
GGCGCGAUGGCAGAGCGGUGAUGCAACGGACUGCAAAUCCGUGUACCCCGGUUCGACUCCGGGUCGUGCCUCCA